UUCGCCCUUUUCCGGUUGAUCCCGCCGGACCUGGCUGCUAUCGGAUUGAUACUAAGCCAUGCGAGUCAUUGUAGCAAUACAAGGCAUACGGCUCAGUAACGCGUAGUCAACCUAACCUAUGGACGGGAAUAACCUCGGGAAACUGAGAAUAAUGCCCGAUAGAACAUUAUGCCUGGAAUGGUUUAUGUUCCAAAUGAUUUAUCGCCGUAGGAUGGGACUGCGGCCUAUCAGUUUGUUGGUGAGGUAAUGGCCCACCAAGACUAUUACAGGUACGGGCUCUGAGAGGAGUAGCCCGGAGAUGGGUACUGAGACACGGACCCAGGCCCUAUGGGGCGCAGCAGGCGAGAAAACUUUGCAAUGUGCGAAAGCACGACAAGGUUAAUCCGAGUGGUUUCUGCUAAAGAAACCUUUUGUCAGUCCUAGAAACACUGAUGAAUAAGGG
rnacentral:rRNA from 1 species